GCCAGGCGUGGUGGCACAUGCCUGUAGUCCCAGCUACUCGGGAAGCUGAGGCUGGAGGAUCGCCUGAGCCCGGAGUUUUGGGCUGUAGUGCACUAUGCCGAUUUGGUGUCCGCACUAAGUUCGGCAUCAGUAUGGUGACAGUUCAGGAGCGGGGAACCACCAGGUUGCCUAAGGACCUCGUGAACCGGCCCAGGUUAGAAAUGGAGCAGGUCAAAACUCCCGUUGCUCAUCAGUAGUGGGACUGCACCUGUGAAUAGCCACUGCAGUGCAGUGUGGGCAACACAGCCACAAAU
rnacentral:SRP_RNA from 1 species